UUGUGCAGUGUGGCAACAGUGAAGAUAUGUCAAAGUGAAAAACAAAAAAACGUGUGUAUGUGAGAUUACGAAAAACUAUCAUCACACCGCUCGGAAGAUUAACGUCUGGAUUGUCAAUGGAAUUCAUCAAUCAAGAUAAAACCGAAUAGAUGUGAAAAAAGCCAACAAGAACACCGAUCACAUCAGAGUAUAGCUACAUAAAGCAAGGACGUGGCACACCCCCAACGAAUACUGUCUUACGAGGAUCUAGUGGCAUCGAGGCAUCUAGCACAAAGUCCGCAUCUGAUAGACGCCAUGGCCGGAUUUGCACAGGCUUGUCUUUUAUUGUCGGUGAAGACACACACAGAUAUACCAAUGAUCAGGGACUUUGGAUAUUGCCAGUAUUUGCUAUGAACUCAAAAUUUGGUUUGUGUGCAUACUUAGGCCCAAUUAAAAUAAAAGAAAUGUCAUUUGAACAGUUAUCUGUAUUGCAUUAAUGUAACACAUACCAAAUUUUACAUUUAUCAGAUGAGCAGCUUUUGUCCAACAGUUAAAGGUAAGUUCUUCAAUGAGGAGGUCAUCA